rnacentral:lncRNA from 1 species
AGCAGAGGUGGUAGCGGUUAGAGCCUGGUGCCCAGAGGCUGUGGUAAUUACAACAGCUCACUUCCCCUGGGAUGUGAGGUGUGCCUUUCCCAGGCAGAGCAUGCAGGGACAUGCCUGGAGUCCCCAUGGAUCUCAAGGUGCAUCAGGCUUGGUCAUAAACAGCAACUGGGAACCUGGGAUGGAUGCUCAGAGGGAACGGCUAGGUUUGAGAAGUAAGGUCAGGCUGGGAAGGAAGCAUCCAGGAGCCUCUCUGACUCUCCUCUGAAAUCACUGGGCUUUAGCUUCUUACUGGGGUAUGCAGGCCACUAGCUAUAAAGAGGGGUUACUGGAAGCAAGGUAGAGCCCGGAACAGGACCUGCUGCUUGCUUGUGUUUCUACAGGUGUGAUGUCAAAGAAGACCAGAAACUGCAGAGCCAGGAGGGAAGCCAGAGCACCAUGAAGACUCCCAGUGCAGAGGAAGAGUGCAUACAGAAGCGGACUGAAAGAGAGCCAGACAGACAAGAGACCAAGUCUGCAACCAGCCCAAUUCUAGCCUCCCCAGAGGGGCUAAGAGAAGAGUUGGGAACCUCUACAGCCAGUUUGGCCCCAGACUCUCCACAACAUUCUGACUUGGCUCCCCUUGACCUCUCUGUGGGAGGAGCUAGCAGCCCCAGGCCUGGAGAAAGUACACAUAUACCCAGUCCAAAGGCUGGGGCUCAGGAAAGUCCAGAGUCAUGGCCAAAUGGUUCUGAGCA